rnacentral:rRNA from 1 species
UUUCGGGGUACACGAGCGGCGAACGGGUGAGUAACACGUGGGUGAUCUGCCUUGCACUCUGGGAUAAGCCUGGGAAACUGGGUCUAAUACCGGAUAUGACCUGUCCUCGCAUGGGGGUGGGUGGAAAGAUUUAUCGGUGUGAGAUGGGCCCGCGGCCUAUCAGCUUGUUGGUGGGGUAAUGGCCUACCAAGGCGACGACGGGUAGCCGACCUGAGAGGGUGACCGGCCACACUGGGACUGAGACACGGCCCAGACUCCUACGGGAGGCAGCAGUGGGGAAUAUUGCACAAUGGGCGGAAGCCUGAUGCAGCGACGCCGCGUGAGGGAUGAAGGCCUUCGGGUUGUAAACCUCUUUCAGCAGGGACGAAGCGUGAGUGACGGUACCUGCAGAAGAAGCACCGGCUAACUACGUGCCAGCAGCCGCGGUAAUACGUAGGGUGCGAGCGUUGUCCGGAAUUACUGGGCGUAAAGAGUUCGUAGGCGGUUUGUCGCGUCGUUUGUGAAAACCCGGGGCUCAACUUCGGGCUUGCAGGCGAUACGGGCAGACUUGAGUGUUUCAGGGGAGACUGGAAUUCCUGGUGUAGCGGUGAAAUGCGCAGAUAUCAGGAGGAACACCGGUGGCGAAGGCGGGUCUCUGGGAAACAACUGACGCUGAGGAACGAAAGCGUGGGUAGCAAACAGGAUUAGAUACCCUGGUAGUCCACGCCGUAAACGGUGGGCGCUAGGUGUGGGUUCCUUCCACGGGAUCUGUGCCGUAGCUA